AGAGAUGGAGAGGAGUCAGGGUGUGUGAAUCACGUCAGCCCUUCAGACGAGGUGAAACGGAAAUAACAUAUUUGCAAGACAAUAACCACAACCACAUCUAUGACUAGAAAAUCCUAGAAAAUUCUGUGCUACGUAAUAUAAAACCUCUCAGGGUACAAUCCACCAACCUGGAAGUACUAUUGACUGAAUUAUGCUCAUAACUGAGGAUGAUGACCUACAGGCAAACUCUGCUAGUGACCAGGUUGUUCUUGCAGAGCUCCUGACUGCUGGGAAAAGAGCUGGAAGUUCUGAAAUAUCAAAGCAAAAUCUGUUCCUGCAAGAUUUCCAUCAGAGAGAGGAUUAACAGUCAACAAAUGAACAUCAGUGCAACUGCCUCUGAAUCUGGGAUCUGCCUACCUGUCUUCAGUACGUAUUUCUGUAUUUCUUGAUGUACUGUGAGAAACUGGAUGAGACAGUGUAAUAUGUAGAAUCCCUCCUCACACGUUAUGAUAUCAAACCACUAAUAAACAUGGGAAAUGUAU
rnacentral:lncRNA from 7 species